AUCUAGAUAGCUUAUAUAUAGAGUUUGACAUUGAAGAUGUUAAGGAAAUGUUACAUUUUUAGGUA
rnacentral:tRNA from 1 species